rnacentral:rRNA from 1 species
UACGGAGGAUCCGAGCGUUAUCCGGAUUUAUUGGGUUUAAAGGGAGCGUAGAUGGAUAUUUAAGUCAGUUGUGAAAGUUUGCGGCUCAACCGUAAAAUUGCAGUUGAUACUGGAUAUCUUGAGUGCAGUUGAGGCAGGCGGAAUUCGUGGUGUAGCGGUGAAAUGCUUAGAUAUCACGAAGAACUCCGAUUGCGAAGGCAGCCUGCUAAGCUGCAACUGACAUUGAGGCUCGAAAGUGUGGGGAUCAAACAGG